UGAGCAUUUUUUAAAGCUCUUCUAGCUUCAAUGACGAUAGCAAUAUUUGUCAGAAAAAUGAGUUCAUACAUUUGAUGCCAGACUAGCACAAUAAAAUGAAUGCAAAUGCCCAUCUUAAAAUUUUCAAGUACAUAUUCUUGCUCAUGAAAUUUUCAAUUAUCAUUCUUGAAUUUCAAUACAUCUGCUAUAUUCAAGUUGCUUCAAUUAAGGAUGUUAAAAUAAUGAAUGCUUAACUACAGUCAAGGGGUUCUAGACCUCUCCCUCUAACAUCCUCUCUUUCUUCUAGGUUCCCUGCUGGGCUUCACUAGGCUGCAUUAUGUGCCACCAGCUUUUACUUCUCUAAUAAACCAUAAGAUCCAGUCAACAGCUCAAACAGUUCAGAACUAAUUCUUAGGUCUCUCCCUUAUGAAUUCACUAUAAUCUGCAAGCAAGCUACCAUUAACUUUACGCUUCAUGUCCUGCACCAAUCUUCUCAGCACCUGUUCACAAAACACAAAUGUUGUUAUAUAUAUAUAUAUUCAGUUAGACAAUUUCAAGGGUUUUGUUGCCUAACCAACUCUGCAACGUUCCUGCGAAUAUCUUCAGGAAUCAAAGCAAGCACAGGAGGAAGAACAAAGGUUAUAUUCAUCUCUAAUUGACCUUUAAGCCGGGUUCUUGCUCCUAAUCUAUCAGCAUAUAAUGCUCCUUUUACUCCAAGGGAAAAAUGAGAUGGCUCAAGAACAUUGUCAAGCCCUUCAAGUUGCCAUCUUGUCUGCACAAGAACACGGGAUAGGUCACAAGAAUAAAUUUACAUAAUAACUAACUACACAAUCUUCAUUGAUGAGAGCAUUACAAUAUCGAGCUCUAGAACUUUUGUGAUAUUUUUGGGAACUCCUGGAGGGUAAUCUCUUCCUCCUGACUUAGAUCUCAACCUCAUGUCUACCGUCGGCAAGACAGCAAGGAAAAAGAAAUUAAUGGGCAACAUCUGAAUUCUCCACUCAUCCUGCAAAAAUUAAGAGAGAGGACUCUUAUUUUGUAAGACUGUACAGUGUACCUUACAACAUUUUCCAUCACAAAUUGCAUUGAAGUUAUGCUAUUUGAGACAGCAUUGUAUAAAAUUAGAAAUGAAUUAAUUGAAAUAUUCAAAUGACCAUUUAUAUAUAAGUUUAGAAAAUAUUUGCUCUUGCAAAAGCCAGACAGGUUUUCAGAUUGCAAGUAAAUUUGCGGGCAGUUUAAUUUGGUACUGCCAGACCAAGCUUGAUACUUGCAGUAUUGGAUAAACCUGUAACUGAAGCCUUGACUCUUGUAAGAUUCCUUGAAGAUUGCAAUUGGAAAGCAAAUUUAGUGAAAUAUAUAUUCUAUCUACUAACCAUUUAACAGAUCCUAUUUCUUUUCCUUCUUGACAGGACUUUACAUUAGGUUGAGCAUUGCUAAAUUACUCUCUUUCAACAAGUAGCUGUGCCUGUUACCUAGAUACAAGGGCUUUUUUCCAAAAGGUGGCAACUUAAAAAAAAAAAUUAUCAAAAGGGGCGACUUGAAAAGUAUUUACUAAAAGUAAAUCUAAGACACUCCACGCCAACCAAAACACCCCCCAGUAAAUACAUUUCAAGUCACCCCCUUUUAGUAAAUUUUUUUUUUUAUGUUGCCACCUGUUGGAAAAAAAGCCCUAGAUACUACUAGUAACCACACCAACUAUACUAACUGGGGUUGGCUUAGUUGACUGACUUGAAAGUGGGCAUAAUCCCCAAGGGAACAGCCCAACAUAUCGGCUUGAGAGUUGAGACAUCUAUUAGAUAUAAAACCUGUUGGGGUGGGGAACGGUGGUGGACAGGAGAAAAGCGACCUCCCUAUGUAGCUCAUCCAAUUAAUAUAAAAAAAACAAAAGGAAAAGAACAUAGGGAGUGUCAUAGGUUCAAUGCUGGAAACCUUACCCCAAGAACCAAAAGAAAAGUAACACCAACGGGCAUAGAUUUGCUCUUAUGGAUGUUAAUUGAUAAACAAAGCUGAUACAUUUCAUCAACUAAAAAGGAAUAUGGCAGAGAAAAUUCUCUCUUUAUUCACUUCAUCUCAUCAGUAAAUUGAGCUUUUAUUUAUUUGGGGGAACUGAGGGAAAAACUAACAGCUUCUGAAUCAUUGAGAGAAUCAUACAUAUUGCCUACACAACGAACUCACUUUUUCUACAGAAAAAGUAAAGGAAAUGAAUAAAUAUAUUUAACAAUAACCUCAUUAAGUAGUUGACUCCUACGUUUGUCAGGAAACAUUGCUUUGAAAACUCUGGGCUUAUCCUCCAAAUAUCUAUCAAAGGAAGCUCCAGGAGACUCGUAGAGUGGGAUAUCAGUAGAGAUUCCUGAAGAGUAGGUGGCAGGUUUGGUUGCCAUCUGAUUCUUGAUAAAUGGUUCAGCCAAUGCAUGGCAUUGCCAAUCUUUCUUCUUGUGCUUUCCCUUCCAUUUCCCACUACUAUAAUGCCCAAGCAGCACCUGCGGCUGGCACGGAGUAAAAAAACUUGCCGCAAUUUCACCCAUUUUCCAUCAACCCUUGUAUUUCAUUUUCAUUUUAAUUUCUCCAUGAAUGGUUGGUAUUUGGUAAAGAAAAAGAAAACAAAGGUGCAAAUCAAUGAGGCUAAAAAUGGCUGAUAGAUGAGAGGGAUAGGGAUUUG
rnacentral:misc_RNA from 1 species